CUUCAAGGCACUGUUGGUCCAGAUUGUGCCGCUACUCCACGGCGAUACGGCAUAGAUGAAGUGGUUGAUAAUGAAGGGACUUUUGGAUAAAGAAGUGGAAGAUCUCAAAACGUUUACGGGCGAUCAAGUUUACGACACAGAAGAGGGAGGCGAUAAUGAUGCCGAAGAUUUACUGCCAGUGACAGUGCAUGGAUCACCUUGCAAAACCUGCACAUAAGCAUCUCCGUUCACAGCAGCUGGGCAUUCACAGCAACACACAACAUCU